UACGGAGGGUGCAAGCGUUGCUCGGAAUCAUUGGGCGUAAAGCGUACGCAGGCUGUUCGUUAAGUCGGGUGUGAAAGCCCGGGGCUCAACCCCGGAACUGCGCCCGAAACUGGCGAGCUUGAGUGCGGGAGAGGAAAGCGGAAUUCCUGGUGUAGAGGUGAAAUUCGUAGAUAUCAGGAGGAACACCGGUGGCGAAAGCGGCUUUCUGGCCCGACACUGACGCUCAUGUACGAAAGCGUGGGGAGCAAACAG
rnacentral:rRNA from 1 species